GACGAACGCUGGUUGCGUGCUUAACACAUGCAAGUCGAACGGAAAGGCCCUGCUUUUGUGGGGUGCUCGAGUGGCGAACGGGUGAGUAACACGUGAGUAACCUGCCCUUGACUUUGGGAUAACUUCAGGAAACUGGGGCUAAUACCGGAUAGGAGCUCCUGCUGCAUGGUGGGGGUUGGAAAGUUUCGGCGGUUGGGGAUGGACUCGCGGCUUAUCAGCUUGUUGGUGGGGUAGUGGCUUACCAAGGCUUUGACGGGUAGCCGGCCUGAGAGGGUGACCGGCCACAUUGGGACUGAGAUACGGCCCAGACUCCUACGGGAGGCAGCAGUGGGGAAUAUUGCACAAUGGGCGGAAGCCUGAUGCAGCAACGCCGCGUGCGGGAUGACGGCCCUCGGGUUGAAAACCGCUUUCGCCUGUGACGAAUCGUGAGUGACGGUAAUGGGUAAAGAAGUACCGGCUAACUACGUGCCAGUAGCCGCGGUUAUACUUAAGGUGCGAGCGUUGUCCGGAUUUAUUGGGCGUAAAGGGCUCGUAGUGGUGAAUCGCGUCGGAAGUGUAAUCUUGGGGCCUUUCCUGAGCGUGCUUUCGAUACGGGUUGACUUGAGGAAGGUAGGGGAGAAUGGAAUUCCUGGUGGAGCGGUGGAAUGCGCAGAUAUCAGGAGGAACACCAGUGGCGAAGGCGGUUCUCUGGGCCUUUCCUGACGCUGAGGAGCGAAAGCGUGGGGAGCGAACAGGCUUAGAUACCCUGGUAGUCCACGCUGUAAACGGUGGGUACUAGGUGUGGGGUCCAUUCCACGGGUUCCGCGCCGUAGCUAACGCUUUAAGUACCCCGCCUGGGGAGUACGGCCGCAAGGCUAAAACUCAAAGGAAUUGACGGGGCCCCGCACAAGCGGCGGAGCAUGCGGAUUAAUUCGAUGCAACGCGUAGAACCUUACCUGGGUUUGACAUGGAUCGGGAGUGCUCAGAGAUGGGUGUGCCUCUUUUGGGGUCGGUUCACAGGUGGUGCAUGGCUGUCGUCAGCUCGUGUCGUGAGAUGUUGGGUUAAGUCCCGCAACGAGCGCAACCCUUGUUCACUGUUGCCAGCACGUUAUGGUGGGGACUCAGUGGAGACCGCCGGGGUCAACUCGGAGGAAGGUGGGGAUGACGUCAAGUCAUCAUGCCCCUUAUGUCCAGGGCUUCACGCAUGCUACAAUGGCUGGUACAGAGAGUGGCGAGCCUGUGAGGGUGAGCGAAUCUCGGAAAGCCGGUCUCAGUUCGGAUUGGGGUCUGCAACUCGACCUCAUGAAGUCGGAGUCGCUAGUAAUCGCAGAUCAGCAACGCUGCGGUGAAUACGUUCCCGGG
rnacentral:rRNA from 1 species